ensembl:lncRNA
GGAAGGGUUAACCCACACCCAGCCCAGGUUCUGCGCUGAGCCUCAGUCUGGGCAGCCUCCAGCAUCUGAAAGUGAAACUUUUCGGGGGGCCCAAAGGGCUGAGAUCUGACAGGACCACAGAUGAAUUUUGCUCUCGGUGAAGAAGAUACAAGGCAGAAGCUGAGCACUUUCAAGCGAGUGAUCUACUUCCAGCUCUUCCAGCCACAUCGACGAGGACAGGGAAAGGAUAACUCUCAGUUCUGGCUCAUUACAGGCUUGAUGGUAUCUCACUUUGUUUUCCUGCGGAGUUGGAUCUGUGCUGUUCUCCAACGUGGGUGACACAACCUCAACCAUGGGCAGAGCCAGCAAGGAUUAAUCAGGUCAAUGGAUGAACAAAAAAUCACAUCUGUGGAGAGAAGCUCAGUCCUAAAAAGCUGCUUCAGGCCUUCCAUAAUAUCUUCUUUCCGGGUUAAAAUCAACCUCCGUUUGUAUACUCGUCUCCUUGUCUUUUUCUUUUUCUUCCUGUUUUUCUGAGUAGGUUGAUUUCAAAAUGAUGUUUCUUGAAACAAGAAGCCACUUCUUUUCAUUGCACCCCAGACUGCAUUUGGCAGAUGCUGGCUCACCAAAGCCUUGCUCUAAAUCCAGUGUCUGGACAUGCACGUGUGCUUGGCGAAUGCAGGGAAACUGCCACAUUUUGG